CAGCCGCGGUAAUACACGCAAGCCUGUAACAGCGACGCCGCGUGAGUGAAGAAGGCCUUCGGGUUGUAAAGCUCUUUUAGUGGGGAAGAUAAUGACGGUACCCACAGAAAAAGCCCCGGCUAACUUCGUGCCAGCAGCCGCGAGUAAUACAAUACAC
rnacentral:rRNA from 1 species